GAGGCCAUUUACAACAAAUUUGGCCAGAAAAGGCGUUGGAAGGUUAGACCAUUGAAAUGUUUCCAGAAUUUCGAGGCCAUGUGGAAGAAAGAAAACUCAAGUUCAAGUAGGAAUGGAUCAUCGCGAUCAAACAGCAGUAUCUAACAAAUUGUGGAUAUUUCCUUUGUUCAAGUGUGCAUAUAUGUUUCCUUCACAGAUUUCUGCCAAAUAUAUCAGUAGUAGGAAGUUGUAUCACUUUUUCUAGCUUUAAAUCUCUAGAUGUCCAAAACAAAUGGUCAUCCUUUU
rnacentral:misc_RNA from 1 species